AACGAACGCUGGCGGCAUGCCUAACACAUGCAAGUCGAACGAUUGCCUUCGGGUGAUAGUGGCGCACGGGUGCGUAACGCGUGGGAAUCUGCCCUUAGGUUCGGAAUAACAGCUGGAAACGGCUGCUAAUACCGGAUGAUAUCGCGAGAUCAAAGAUUUAUCGCCUGAGGAUGAGCCCGCGUUGGAUUAGGUAGUUGGUGGGGUAAAGGCCUACCAAGCCGACGAUCCAUAGCUGGUCUGAGAGGAUGAUCAGCCACACUGGGACUGAGACACGGCCCAGACUCCUACGGGAGGCAGCAGUGGGGAAUAUUGGACAAUGGGCGCAAGCCUGAUCCAGCAAUGCCGCAUGAGUGAUGAAGGCCCUAGGGUUGUAAAGCUCUUUUACCCGGGAAGAUAAUGACUGUACCGGGAGAAUAAGCCCCGGCUAACUCCGUG
rnacentral:rRNA from 1 species